GGGUCAGUAGGUUGGUCGUGCCACCGGUACGUACUGGUCUCGCUGAUUCCUCCUUCCUGAAGAACCGUAAUGCCAUUAAUUUGGUGUUGCGGGGAAACAGGACUGUUACUUUGAAAAAAUUAGAGUGUUUAAAGCAAGCUAACGCUUGAAUACAUUAGCAUGGAAUAACGAAAUAGGACGAUCGAUCCUAUUUUGUUGGUUUCUAGGAUUGACGUA
rnacentral:rRNA from 1 species